rnacentral:lncRNA from 1 species
CCUAAAUCAAGGCCUAAGACCUAUAGACACAGCAGCGCCGUUACACCCAAAAGAACCCCACCCCCUACGAUCAUGUUCCUCUCCAUUCCAGAACCAGCGGAACUUCACUCCCACCCCACCAUGACUUGAACUCCAGCCAGCAACCAUACACAAAACCUAUAGCAAUGAUCAAACGGAGCCACCAUCAGAUCGAUCGUCCACCCAUGACCUAUCUUCUUCUCACCUCCUUCAUCAUCUUGCCCUCACAGAUUUAUAGACCAAUAAUUGAAUCGCGCCGAAAGAGGUGAGUCUCGCCGGAAAUGGCGACCAACGGUGACCAAUAGUCGCCGGACCUUGACCAACUUAAUGACACCCUUGUUCGACGCCAACAGUCUGGUAAGGGACCACACUCAUCCAAACGACCUCCCUCUCUAAAGCUAAACCAGCGACAACCAACGUUCACCAGCUCGACAACGCCGACCACCCUCACCCAUGUUCGUCGCUAACAGUCUGGUAACGGAUCUGACCGGAAUUCCAUUAUCGGCAACCUAAUGUUUCAUCAUACUCGUUCUGAAUAGGUCCAGAAGCCAUCGUUGAAGCCAAGCAACAGAAGAUGUUUUCUUGGUUUGGUUUAUGUUUCAGUUUCAAUUUCGGAAUUUUGGUUUUUCAAAUAGUGGAAUUCGAUUGAGGUGUUACUGUUCGAGUUUCAUCUGCCGGGGUUGGAUUCAUCAAGGUUUAGAUCAAAUAGUUCGUUUGUUUUGGUUAGCUGAUUUUUGAGAUCCUAUUUUGUUGUACAUGGCAGAAAAAUGCAGCAAUAAAGGUCUAUCCCUCUCUUUGUUCUUAAUCUUAAUGAUUCUAUUGUGAUACUUGUAUGUGAAAUUAUUUGUGUUAAUAUAGUUGAUUGUUUUAAUUCGACUGAAUGAAUCAUUGUUGGUUUGUUACAUUGAUGGCUGAAUAUUAGUUGAUUCAAAUGUAGAUAAUUGAGAAGGAGGACAAUAGUGCUAAGAAUGAAAUUGCUUGAUAUGAGUAAUCAGAUGUGUGGUAUCUGUUUCUUUAACCUUGAAAAUAUUGAUAUUUCUGUUCUCAUGUGGUAAAAAGAGCUUUUGAGCAAUACACCUAAAAUAACUAGGAUUUGCUGUUUCAAACAAAUAUGAUUUUACUAUAAGUUUAUCUUAUGGAUGUAAAAUUCAGCGUGGCAAGAGUUGUCUCUUGUAUUUUCCUUUUUUUCCAUGUUGCUGGCUUACUAUUUUCCCAGCUCGUAUCUGACUAUCUUUCUUUUCUCUUGCCUGCUUGUAAUUGUCCUACUUAUCUAACUUUUGCAGAGUUGUCCUUUUCUGGAGUUGGACUUCAAAAAUGAAAUUGCUUAAUAUGUGAAUGAGUCUAGCUAGAAUAACUUACCGAUAUGUAUUUGGAUUGUUUCACUUGACUGGAUUGAUGGGUCGGCAUUUAUCUCCUAAAUUGGAACCAAUUGAAAAAUGGGGUUUGGACAUAGUUUAUGCAUUGAAUAGGACAUGUAUUAAGUGUAGUUUUAUUUUUGGAUAUUGUAAAAUUUAUUUUCUUUAUCAACAUAAUUUAACCAAGUUAGUUAGUUCA